GAUGAACGCUGGCGGCGUGCCUAAUACAUGCAAGUCGAGCGAACAGACGAGGAGCUUGCUCCUCUGACGUUAGCGGCGGACGGGUGAGUAACACGUGGAUAACCUACCUAUAAGACUGGGAUAACUUCGGGAAACCGGAGCUAAUACCGGAUAAUAUAUUGAACCGCAUGGUUCAAUAGUGAAAGACGGUUUUGCUUUCACUUAUAGAUGGAUCCGCGCCGCAUUAGCUAGUUGGUAAGGUAACGGCUUACCAACGCGACGAUGCGUAGCCGACCUGAGAGGGUGGUCGGCCACACUGGAACUGAGACACGGUCCAGACUCCUACGGGAGGCAGCAGUAGGGAAUCUUCCGCAAUGGGCGAAAGCGUGACGGAGCAACGCCGCGUGAGUGAUGAAGGUCUUCGGAUCGGAAAACUCUGUUAUUAGGGAAGAACAAAUGUGUAAGUAACUAUGCACGUCUUGACGGUACCUAAUCAGAAAGCCACGGCUAACUACGUG
rnacentral:rRNA from 1 species